rnacentral:rRNA from 1 species
UACGUAGGGUGCGAGCGUUAAUCGGAAUUACUGGGCGUAAAGCGUGCGCAGGCGGUUAUGUAAGACAGGUGUGAAAUCCCCGGGCUUAACCUGGGAACUGCAUUUGUGACUGCAUAGCUAGAGUACGGUAGAGGGGGAUGGAAUUCCGCGUGUAGCAGUGAAAUGCGUAGAUAUGCGGAGGAACACCGAUGGCGAAGGCAAUCCCCUGGACCUGUACUGACGUUCAUGCACGAAAGCGUGGGGAGCAAACAGG